rnacentral:rRNA from 1 species
UACGUAGGUGGCAAGCGUUGUCCGGAUUUAUUGGGCGUAAAGCGCGCGCAGGCGGUUCGAAAAGUCCAUGGUGAAAGCGCCUGGCUCAACUGGGCGAGUGCCGUGGGGACUGUCGAGCUGAAGGGAAGCAGAGGCGAGUGGAAUUCCGGGUGUAGUGGUGAAAUGCGUAGAUAUGCGGAGGAACACCGAUGGCGAAGGCAAUCCCCUGGGCCUGCACUGACGCUGAGGAGCGAAAGCAUGGGGAGCGAACAGG